rnacentral:tRNA from 9 species
GGGCGGUUAGCUCAGCGGUAGAGCUUUCGCUUUACACGCGACGGGUCGGGGGUUCGAAUCCCUCACCGCCCACCA